rnacentral:rRNA from 1 species
AUUGAACGCUAGCGGGAUGCCUUACACAUGCAAGUCGAACGGAGUGGCGAACGGGUGCGUAAUGUAUCGGAACGUGCCCCGUAGCGGGGGAUAACUACGCGAAAGCGUAGCUAAUACCGCAUACUAUUGGAGCGGCCGAUAUCGGAUUAGCUAUGUGGUGGGGUAACGGCUCACUAAGGCGACGAUCCGUAGCUGGUUUGAGUGGAAGACCAGACACACUGUGACUGAGACACGGCCCAGACUCCUACGGGAGGCAGCAGUGGGGAAUGUUGGACAAUGGGGGAAACCCUGAUCCAGCCAUCCCGCGUGUGCGAUGAAGGCCUUCGGGUUGUAAAGCACUUUUGGCAGGAAAGCGGUACCUGCAGAAUAAGCACCGGCUAACUACGUGCCAGCCGCCGCGGUAAUAC